GACGAACCAUGCAAACGUUAUUCGGAUUCACUGGGCUUAAAGAGUUCGUAGGCGGCGCAGAAAGUAGGGUGUGAAAGCCCUCGGCUCAACCGAGGAAUUGCGCUCUAAACUACUGUGCUUGAGGAAGCUAGAGGUGAGCAGAACUGAUGGUGGAGCGGUGAAAUGCGUUGAUAUCAUCAGGAAUACCGGAGGCGAAGGCGGCUCACUGGGGCUUUUCUGACGCUGAGGAACGAAAGCCAGGGUAGCGAACGGG
rnacentral:rRNA from 1 species